GAGUUUGAUCAUGGCUCAGGAUGAACGUUGGCGGCGUGCCUAACACAUGCAAGUCGAACGGAAGUAGCAAUACUUCAGUGGCGCACGGGUGAGUAACACGUAGCUUACCCUCCUCCGAGAGUGGGAUAACGGCUCGAAAGAGCUGCUAAUACCGCAUAAGCUCCCGAGCUAUAGAGGCUUGAGAGAAAAGGGGCAACUCGCUUAGAGACGGGGCUGCGGCCCAUCAGCUAGUUGGUGAGGUAACGGCUUACCAAGGCGACGACGGGUAGGGGACCUGAGAGGGUGACCCCCA
rnacentral:rRNA from 1 species